rnacentral:lncRNA from 1 species
AGCAAGAUUAUUCAGCCUUUCUAGCUCCCCUAAGUGACGACCAUCCUCCUUACCCACAAUGAACAGGCCAAGUUUUCGCAGGCAUGUUAAUUGCCCCAUUCCAAAUGGCAUAAAUCGAAGUGAAUAACAGCCCGUGAUGUCAAGAUAGAUGAGACUUUUCAUAUGCUUCAUACCUCUAGGUAAUUGGAUGAGCUGUGUACACUGACUCAGAUUUAGUGUCUGAAGAUUUUGGAGGGAGGUGGUUGAUGCAGGCAAUUUUUUAAUGUUGGAAUUGGAGACAUCUAGAAACCUUAGAUGUUUCAAAUAACAAAUUGACUUUGGCAAUGUAUUGAGAUAGAUACCUAUAUGCAAGGCUCUCAGAUGCUUUUGUUGGGUGAAAUAAAGAUGCAAAUCAUCACUCACAGUGUGAUGAUAAACUCCAGAAAGCAAAAUUGAGCGUAGUGACCGAGAUUUGAAAUCCUUGUCUUUUGGAACAAACUGUGAUGUCCUGUAUGCACCCACAUGACGAAUUGUUUUAGGAAUUUGCAACUUUGUAUUGCCCUCAAUCAAACAACAUUCUCUCUUCAUAAUGUACUGUGCAAGAUCAUGGAUAAGAUCGUGCAUUUUACAUGAUAUGUUGCCCAGCCCAUCAUCCAUGACUUCUUGAAAAAAAGACCUCCCAACUAAUUCGUGGAAAAUCUCUUCACCCUUAUCGUGCAAAUCCAUUUGCCCAAUGCACGAAAUGAAGCCAUUUGCCAUCCAUAGAGCUACCAACCGCUCCUUCCGAAUGACAUAAUCUUUGGGGAAUAUAGAGCAAAAUGCAAAGCAUUGCUUCACAGCUGGCUUUAGAUUCAUAUAACUCAAACUCAAGGCAGGUAAUAUCUGGCUUCCUUCAUUCGGCAGAUCCCAAAUCUCACUUUCUUUCACAGACAGCCACUCCCUUUCAAUUUUCUUCGAGCGCAUCAGGCUUCCGACUGCUCUUAUAGCCAACGGAACUCCGCUACACUUGUUAACUAUCGCUGCUCCAAUGUUUUCCAAGUGACCAUACUCCUCUCUCCUUCUCAUACCAAAUGCAAGCUGCUUAAAUAAAAGCCAGGAAUCCUCAUCCGACAAUGUUUCCAUAUGUUGAACAGGAUUUGUGGCCAUUUUUUCUGCCAUAGUUCCCAAACGAGUAGUCACAAUAACUGCACUUCCUUUAGCUCCACAACUCAAUGCAUCUUUCAACUUGCUCCAGUUAUCAUGGUCAUCAUCCCAAACAUCAUCCAAUAUGAGCAAAAACUUCGUACCACGUAACUUUUCUUGGAGGCAUCGUAGAAGAGCAUCCAACUGUUGAAUAUUUGGAGUAGUGCGUUGAAUGGACUCGAUGAUGGCUGUUGUCAAUCUUUUUAUGUUGAAAUCAACUGAUACGCACACCCAAAUCCGCAAAUCAAAAUGCCCUUCUAUUCUUCCGUCGUUGUAGACUAAUUGAGCAAGUGUUGUUUUACCCAAGCCCCCCAUUCCACAUAUAGCAUAAACAGAGAAAUCAUCUGAACUGGUGAGCAGCAUGUUGACCAGAUCUUCUUUCUCCUUGCCCCUUCCAUAAAUUUCUGAUUCAUUCACCCAUGACCAAGUCUGACGCCAAUCAAAACUAUCUGCUUCUAUCUCCAAAGCCCCUUCUAUUAAAUGGAAAUUGUGUCUCUCCUUGGCAAUGGCAUCUAGUUUUUCUCUAACAUUCUUCAAUUUAUGCACCAUUUUUUGUCGAAAAACAAGUGGAUUAUGAUUGAUAGAAAAGAAGGAACUAACUCGAUAUUUGAGAUCUCUUGGCUGCUGAUGCCACUGAGCUUCAAUUGCAAACUCAUCUAGCAAAUCAUCAGCGUCAUAAGCUGCAUCCUUGAUGUCUCUGAGCCACACCUUUAUAGGCUCACUCUUCCACUGCUUCUCCUCUGCAUCUUGCAGCACAGCUCGAAUAGUUCUGAACGUGCGGUUGAGAUUUUCAAGCUCGGUCUCUAGGCCCCCAGCAAGUCCAAGCUCUUGAAGAAUUGGGGAAUUCAAGUUCCCCAUGAUUGUACUCGCGACAGCAGAAAUAAUUGCAUCAGCCAUAGCUUGUUAUCGAAUGGAAAAUAAUUGGAUGUUGACAAGAAGUAGAAAAUGUGCAAGGAUAACCAAAAGCAGGGAUGAGGAAACAGAGCAGUGUGGGAUGAGAAAUGGCAAAGGUGAAAGUGUAUGGUGAUGAGCUUUUCUUCUACUAUCGAUCUCUUUUCAUUAGUGAUUGAUAAUGUGAUGGAUCCAUUUCAUUAUUAGUGAUCUCUUCGCUGCAGUUUCAGAGAAGGAACGUGGCUGUGUUUGCUUAUUGGUUAGUAAAAGUCUUCGUCCCGCACUGGCCAGGCCGCUUGGGCUCCACACGGAUAUUAAGUAAUAUUCUAAAAGUAGUUUCCCCGCGCCUUUUACUUAUUCUACUGUACACAUAACCCGCAAUGUUGCGGAUUACUUUUUUAUAAAAAAUAUUAAAAAAAUAAAAAUUUAAAAAUUUUGAGUUUUUCUGCAAAGCUAUACUAAAAAAUCUUGAGUUUAGCUGCAACACUUAAUCUAAGAGUAAUAUUUAUAAUGUUAAUAAUAAAAUUAAACUUGCAUGAUCCAAGUUUAAGUUAGUCUGGCUGCAACAUCGGACCCAAGAAUAUUGGAUGUGGGUCUGACUAUAAGAUCGUGUCAUAAAAAUAUGAUAAUUAAAUAGAUUAAUUAAAAAAAUAAAGAAAAAAAAUCAAUAGAAAGAAAAAAACUAAUAAAGAAAAAGAAAAAAAAUGAAUUAAUUAGGUUAACCCUUUAAACCAGGUUAUCCCGUAAAACCUGAGAUUCACGUCAUAAAAGUUUGAUAAUUAAAUAGAAAAAAAAAUGACGGGUUUACCCAGAAUUAACUGGGUUAACCUAUCAAAUCAAGUUAACUCGUCAAGCCUAGGAUACGUGUUAUGAAAGUAUGAAAGUCUGAUAAUUAAAUAGAAAGAAAAUUAACUUUAACAAACUAAACUAAAUGAAAAAAAUAACUCGUCAAAUCAAGUUAACCUAUCAAACCCGAGAUCUGUAUUAUGAAAAUCUGAUAACUAAAUAAAAAAAUUAUCAUUAACAAACUAAAUCAAACAAAAAAAUUCAUUAAAAAAAUUAAAAAGAAAAAAAUAGUUAUAUAAUAUAAUAAUAAUAACAAUAAUAAGUAAAUAUAUUAGUAAAAGGCGUGACAUGCCCGCGCGAUGCCGCGGGCUUGUGGCAUGCUUAUACAUUAUCGUGGAUUUGUGAAAAAAAUCAUAUAAAAAAAUACAGUUAUCAUCCACAAUAUUUUAAAGGAAAAAACUACAAAGUUAUAUUCUCAACCAGCUCAAUAUUAAAAAAAACAAAAUCGACAAAAACAAUUAUGAAAAAAAACACACAAAAAAUGAAAACAAGAAGAUGACAAUUUUGGAAGAAAAAAGACAAAAAACAAAUAAUAAAAAAUAGGAAAAAAAACAUGUGGGGAAAGUUAAAGCUAAAUUUUCAACCAGCUUAAUAUUAAAAUCAUUUAAGAAAAUAUUGUAGCAAUUUAUAGUAUUUUGUAAAAAAAUAUAUAACUAUAAUUCUUAAACAGUUCAAUAUUAAAAAAAAAUUAAUAAAAAUAAUUUUGAUGGAAAAUAAUUGGAUGUUGACAAGAAGAAGUAGAAAAUGUGCAAGGAUAACCAAAAGCAGGGAUGAGGAGACAGAGCAGUGUGGGAUGAGAAAUGGCAAAGGUGAAAGUCUGGUGAUGGUCUUUACUGUUGCUAUUGAUCAAUUCUUCAUUACAUUAAAUGAAGGACGAAUUUUUUGCUUUUAGAAGUUGUGAUGUGAGCUUUAAACAAAUUAUAUGUUUGAAAAAAACCUACCAUACCUCCUAAGAAUGUUUUUAGCAGUGUGGUAACUGUUAUUUUUCAAAUAAUUUUUUGUACCGAAAGGUACGUCAAUGAUUUUUUUAUUUUUUAAAAAUUAUUUUUAACCAUAUUAAAUUUUAAUAAAAAAAUAAAAAAAAAAUUUACAUCUUAGAAACACAAGUUGAACCGUGUUUCCAAUCACUGCCUAAGCUGCCGUCCUUGACUAUUAUAUUGAUUAGGCUCCACACGGUCGAGACUUGACUAGCUGUGCUUACAAUAAAGCAAUUCAAUUUUCAAAGAAGGAACAUGGCUGUGAUUUGAAGACAAGAUUUGUCUGCCGGUGUGAACCCAAACUUUUGUUCAAAAUGUGAGCCAAAAUCCAAUCUAAAUUAAUUUAGUAUAUAAAAAAGUUGUAUUUUUUUUUUGUAGUUGUUAUAAUUCUCUCUCAUCAAUUAAAAAAUUUUAAUCUUUAAUAUUGAAUUUUUAGGUUUAAAAAAGGUAAAAAUAACAAGUAAGCAAUUCUUUUUCAUGUUUGGUUUGUUUAUGAAAAAAUUAAGAUUUAUAAAGAUUUGAAGUUUAUGUUUUUAAAAUGAAUUCAUGAUUAUUAUGAAUUUGAGGUUAAGUGAUUAAUUUUGGAUGUGUUGUUAGAAAUAAAAAUUUGUGAAUUAAUUUGUUAAGGGUUAAGAAAUUCGCUUCAACUUUGCUAGAAAAUAUGGACAAAAUAAUUUUGAGGUUGAAGAUAAAGAAAUUGUAUUUUGGUCCUUGAUUUAUAAAAAUUACAGUGUAGUUCCUAAACAUUGAAAAAUUAUAAUUUGACCUGUAACUAUAUUUUGGGAUUCUGAGUGGUAUUAUUAUGAGGUUAAGGAUAAUGACUCUCAGUUUAAUAAUUGAUUUAGGAUAUUUUUAGUCUGGUCCUUUAAUUUUGAAAGUUUACAUUUUAAUCCCUGAACUUUAAAGAAAUUAUAGUUCGGUCCCUGGUUCAUUUCUAGAUAGAAUUGAAAAUGGUUUGUUGGUAAAAUUUCAAUAUGGUUAUGUAUUUACAAUUUGCUUCAAUUUUGGUAAAAUUUUGUUUUGGCUCGUGAUUUCUAAAAAAUGUUGUUUUAGUCCUUAAACUCAUAAGAAUAAACCUGGUUUUAUUUUAUGCAUUGGAAUAUAUUUAUUUGUUGUUUUGGGUUGUUUUUUAGUAUAUUCUGGAUAUUUGUUAUAGGCUCUCCUAACAAUCAUCAAUAAAAUUUUCGGGUUUUUCAUUUGAUAUUCCUUUUAGUUAUAUAUUUUCUAAGUGAGUGAAAUAAUCUUUUUAAUAUUUAUAUAGGUUGCUUUAUUUUCUGAAUACUGAUUUAUUCUUGAAUUUAUACUCGCAUUCUAUUAAACUAAAUUAUAUUCGAUAUGAUAUACAUUUCUUUGAUGAUUCUGCGAAUACCUAGCUGGUAAGAGAGGCAUCAACUUGUUGUGACCGAUCCUCCCACAAUGAUCAUUUUCGGGUGUCAUAUGAUCUUUGACAUAUAUUCAACUACUUUAUAAUAAUAUGCUUAAUAUGUGAUCCUCCACAAUGAUCAUUUCGGGUGUCAUCUGAUCACCUUCGGGUAUCAUCUGAUCUUUGACAUAUAUUCAACUAUUUUAUAAUAAUAUGCUUAGUAUGUAUAUGUUUAUCAAGAUAAAUCAACUUGCAAACUAUUAAUAUCUAAAAUAUAUAUUAAAUAUUAUUCCCUCAAUGAGUUGGUUGCACUCACCUUUUAUUUUUAAUAUUAUUUUAGGUUUUUAGUUUCUGUUAGCAAGUGGCCUUUAUUGAGUAUUCUUGCUUCUUCAAUUUUGAUUGAUAUGUCUUGCUUAUUUUAUAAGACUUUCCUUUUAGUUUUGAUUCGAUGUAUUAGACACUUCAUUAUUACUUUAUUUUAAUUAAGUUUAGAUUUUAACAAUGUAAUAAGUAUUAUGAAUUUUUUUUUUAAUUACUGAUAAGAAGUUUUGAACUAUCAUUUAGUUUUAUUAAUUUUGAAUAAUAUAAUAUUUUUAAAGAUAAUGAAAUGCUAUAAAUUUUUAGAUAACUUAUUCUUUUAAUAUGUUUAUUUUAAAACUUAAUGUAAAUGAAAUAUUCUUUUGACAUCGUUUCUAUAUUAUUAGUCAUGAACUCGGGAUUCAUAACUUGAAUUGCCUUGUUUGUUAGCAAACAUCUUCUUCUCUACUCUCAUUUUUUUUAAUCAAUGGCCAGUGGCCGUCGGUGACCCCAUAUCCAUGUAGCCAAGCUGCGCACUGGCCAGACCCUCGGAAACACCAAUAUCUUCCAGCGCUAGUGAAUGCAAGUUGCCCAAGAUUGUAAUUGCAAGAGCAGAAACAAGUGCAUCAGCCAUGUUUUUAGGGAAUCCAUGAUCGAAGAACAGUGCAUAGUGAACUUUUUUUUCCCCGGAUUUAAUUCAAAUAAAUGUGUUACCUUCCAAUUAAUCUGGUAAUUACAGAAGAAAGAAGGGAUCUUGAAUAACAAGAAGAACAACAGAAGAAAAGAAACAGAGAGAAAGAGAAACUUUUAGUAACAUUCAACACUGGUUUUUUUUUUUUUUUUUUUUUUAACAAAAUCAACAUUCAACUCACACCAUUAAUAUUGUAUAUUUUUUUUUUUGUUAAUCAUAGGUACCCCAUGUUAGCUUUCACAUACCAAACGAAGUCUUUACAACCCGAAAUCAAUUUUUACAUAAGAUUAAAUUGCAUGUUUGAAACGCGGUGAAAAUUAUAUUCUAAAACUUUUAAUUCUUUACUUAAGAUAAAUUUUUUAUAUAUUUUUAUUAUUUUGAUGUAUUUUAUUAAAAAUAAUUUUUUUUAAAAAAAUAAAAAAUUUUAUUUUAAUAUAUUUAUAUACAAAAAAUAUUUUAAAUCACCACCAUUAUUUCAAUUUCAAAAAGAUAAAGCCCUGUGACCCGUGGCCCUAAAAGAUUUAAUGCUAGAAAAAUUCAAACAGGAGAAAGCAAACCUCCAAGCCCAUAACUAAAUACGGCUAGACCAACUCUUUGAGUUUCUAUUUACAUUGUUUGCUUGCUAUUGAUACUUCAUUCAUGGACAGACCGGAGUCCAGCCUGACGUGCAGCAUCACGAACUUCAGGUUUCUCAGUUCGCCUCUUCUGUAUGAGUAUGACCUCCAAAGUAGCACCUACAAUAGACCUUGAGAAAGGCUUUUUUGUAGCACGACGUCUCUUCGUAAAAGUUUCAGCAGCAAUGUCCUGUAAUUAUUAGGAAAGUUGUAUCAAAAUCAACAUCAUGAGUUCUUAUCUAAAGGGAAACUCAUCCUACAAAUAGAAGUUAAUUGGAAACUACAAAAAAAUAGUCACCUUCUUAUGUUGCUUCCUGUACAUUCUGUCCAGGUUAACUUUGAGGGCUUCCACCUGCUGUGGAAGUAUCUCUUGCAUUUAGAGUUGGCAAAGAGGAAGACCUUAAUUGAUUGAAAAAGCACCACUUAUUAGUUUCAUGGAUUGUAUUGCAGAAGAUAUUAAAUAAAAACAAAACACAAUACGCCUUCGACUCCGAACUGCAAAUUACCUGGGAAUCUGAGCGAACGAAUCUGAUGCCCUUGCCAGGAUAUGUCUUCGCCCCACUGAACCGGCAGAGUUCAGUCCUGAAAUCUUCCAGACCAGACAAGUUUGAUGCUCGUCAUGAUAACAUAUUGAAAACCUCAGAUGAGAUCAUUUGCAUAUAAAAAUGCUUCAUUCCAAGACAUAUAAGUUUGAUGGUUAACAAUGGCGUAUCUAAAACCUCGAUGAGGUUAUUCGCACGGUCAUGACGAAUAUUCUCAGAGGUGCAUCAGAUCCUAAAACCCCUUGGCAGAGGUCCAAAAACCCUUUCAAGUGGUCACAGACAGCAGGAAACAAUGAACUCUCGUCCCAACUUCAACUUCAUUGAAGCCUUAGCCAUUCUGUUCUCUUUGCUAUGUUUUCACUAGAAGCAUAUUUAUGGAAGAGAAAUCAUGGAUCUUUGGAACAACAUCUGCAUAAAUCUAAUUCAAACUCUAUCAUUGCAAUCCCUUUUGAAUUUCAUCACUUUUUUUUAAAAAAAAAAGUGCUAAAAAGAAUGUAAAGUUUCUGAGAGUUUUCUUUCUUUUGCCUUGUUAGGAAAUUCUUUAUUAAGAAUGUAUAAAAAAAGAGUAAAUGGAGCUUUGCUUUGUUCUAGAUGAGCAUCCAUGCAUGGUUUAAUAAGUAGAGAAUAAAAUCUUCCAUGAAAGCUUUAGUGUGAUAGACUUGAAUUACAACAAAGAAACUGACAAGCUGAGCACUAGAAAAGAUCAUUCAAGAUCUCAAUUAUGAAGGUUAAAACCAAAGCAUAAAGCAUAUUAUACAUUACAGCAAAAUCUAAUCGAUCAUAGUCCAAGAUCUUACAUUUAUGCUCACCCCCUAUCCUUGUGCAUAAAAACAAAAAAACAAAAUUAGGUUUAAAAGCUACUAUUUAAACUGUAUUACAUAUAUAUAUAUAUAUAUAUAAAAUUUCAUAUCAAAACCAUAUAAAAAAAAUUAAGAUCUUAAAUUUAUGCUCACCCCUAUCCCUAUUUUUUGUAAUCAAGAUUCCUGAAAAGUAUGAUCUCAAAGCUACCUAUGUUUGAGUGAUUUGUACCGUACCAAAAUUUUAAUUCAUGUGCGCUAACUUGAAAAGCAAAUGAUCUGAAAUCAAAAUGGAACACAUGACUAGUGUGAUUAUGGACAUGUUGCAAGAAAAGGUUUUUACUCAAGAAAUUACUCGAAAAAAAGGUGAAAGAUGUUGUUCGGACGUAUAUUAGGAAUUUUAAUGAUUAUCAAUUACAGGUUGAAAGCUUUAGAAAAUAUUAGUUUGGGAAGGUAUGUUCUUCCCAAACUAGCUUUACAAAAUGUUAGACGGAGAAAUAUUGCAUUUGAGCAGGAAAUUGUAGUUUUACACAUAGUUUUAAAACCCGGACCGGCCCGGCGGAUUGACCUGGGACCCGGCCGACCCGGGCAUGGGACCGGUCUGGGUGGAGGUCAAAACCCGCUUGGGAAUUGGUCCGGCCAGACCCGGUCGACCCGAGACCCGGCCGCAAACCCGUUAACUUUUUUUUUUUGUUUUUUUUUGUGUUAAAACGACGUCGUUUUGAUUUUUUAAAAAAAAAUUAAAAAAUAAAUUUUGACCCGGCCGACCCGGUCAAAAUCCGAAACCCAGGCCUUAGACCGGGCCGGGUCUUAAAACUAUAGUUUUACCUUUUCUUACUCUUGUUUCAAGAAAUUUGAAGUACUCUUCUAUUUGUGAAUAAUUUAAUAUUUCUUUAAGUGUAUUUUUUAUUAUUUCAUGUCAAAACCAUAUAAAAAAAAACAAUUAAAAGGGCACAGUUUUGAUAUUUUUAUGGAAAAAAUUAAUUAACAAAAUAUUUUCAAUUAUAUUACUAAACAUGCAUCUAAGCGACAUGACUCACUUGUUUUUGGUUGGUGCAUGUUACAUACGUUAAUGACCAUUAAUAAUUUUUUUUUAUUAUUGAAUUUGUUUUAUUGAAUUUUUUUUAAUUAUAUUAAAAAUAUUAUUAUUAAAGUUUCAAUGUGUUUUCAAUUCUCUUUUCUCUUUCUUGUUGAAGUUUGUAAAACUAUUUUUUAUGUAUUUUUUAAAUAGAUGCACUUUCUAACUAUAAGAAUUUGAAAAAAUCACAAGUGGAAAUUGCUAUUUACAUCAAAUUAGAAUAAUUUUAAAAUAUUUUUCUUUGUGUUAAUUAGCUAUUUAAAAAAACAAAAAAAAUGUGAUUUUAUUUUUAAAAAACUCCCAUCUUAUAGCAUUGGAUUAGGAUAAAGGUGCUUUCAAAAUUUGUGCGUAGAAUAUGUUCUUUCUAAUAUUCCGAUCAAUGACCAUCCAAUGGGUUUCUUGUAACCAUCAUCAAUCCAAUAUUGGAGAUAAGGUUUCCAGAAUCAUAAAGCCCUGCCGUUUUGGCACCUGAUGCCAACAUUAUUGGCCUACAGAAAGACAAUCAAAACUACUAAAGGCCAAUCACCGCCAUGCGAGUAAAGAUAUGUUUCGGAUUGAGUUUUGAAAAUAUUUUUGAAAAAAAAUGAUUUUUUUUUUAAAAAUCAAGGUAAUAUAAUGGGUCAUGUAUACAAAUAAAAUUACUGACAUAACUGAUUUCGUUUGUAAAAUCCAUCAAUAAAUUCAUUUGUAAACUGUUAACUUCUUCCUGACACUGUUUAUCAUGUCAAUUAUAAAGAAAAUCAUUGACAAAAUAUUCUUUUGAUAUUUCUUAGAGAACUUUGCAACUAUUUACUUUCCAAUUGCACUAUUAAUUAUUAUUUUUUAUAGAUAAAAUCACUGACGGAUUGAAAAUUUAUCGGUGUUAUCUGGCGGGUUUCUGAAAAUCUUUUAUUAAAUUAAAUAUUACAGACGAAAUCACCGAUGGAUUGAAAAGUUGUAGGUGAUAUUUGGCGGUUUCUGAAAAUUUUGUAUUAAAUUGAAAAUUUAAAUUAACUAUUACAGACGAAAUAAUUGACGGAAUGAUUAAAAAUAUUAAUAUUUAAUUAUUCAUCUGUAAAACACCCAAUAAAAAGACUAGAAUCCUUUAUUUCACAAUAGACGUGCCUCUUUUUUCUUCUUCUUCUUUUUUUUUUUUUUAAAAAAAAACAUCAACAUCCCUUUCUUUCUCUUCUCUCCUCAACUCCUUAUUUAUUUAUUUAAACGCUGCUUUUCAUUUUUAUUUUAAUGCUAUGUUUGUUUAUGAAGUUGCAUCUGUGUUUGAAGCAAAACACAGGAGUAACAUAUUUGAUAAUAAAAAAAACAUCAUUUACUGUUUAUGGGCCCCAUUGUUAUCCACCUUUGCAACGCAGAAUGAGACAAAGUAGCUCUUCGCUGCUUUUGUGGAGAGUGAAAAGUGGAGGGUGACUCCACUAUUCCGGUUGGAAUGGGUCCAAUUCAAAGCUAAAAAUGCAUUGAACCGGAUCCGAUCCAGUAAAAUAAAAAAAUCAUUUUUUUUAUUUUUAAUUGUGUUUUAUUAAAAAAAAAUUAGUGUUUUAACAUUAUUCAAUGACAUUAUAUAAAUUAUACGGGGAUUGCUUAAUGACGUAAUAUUUGUAGAAUUUGAUCAUAAUCCUAAUUUUAUUCAUGAUGUUGUUGUGCGCUUAAGAAACCAAGAAAACUGUAGUCAUUGUUGAAUGUAUUUCAUAUGUAAUGGAAUUGUAGAUAGUUUAAUGGAACAAUAAAAAAUAUUUUAUAUAAAGUAUUAUUUAUUUUAUGAUGUAAUAACAGUAAUUAAAUCUACAAUAUUUAAAUUAAAAACCAUCAAUAGUAAUAUAUAUUUUUUGAAAUUAUUUUAUAAUCUCAAUUUGAAAAGCAUUCUUAACCAAAUACAUUAAACUAUUUUUUAGUUCAACUUUAAUUUUAACCAAACAUAUAUAAAUAUCAAACCAACCUUAACUAAAAAUACUUUUUAUAAAAUACAUUUUUCAAACCACAACCAUAAAAGCUACCACAAUACCAAACACACUCCAGGUGUGUUUAUUUCUUGGAAAGUGGUUUCCCAGAAAUCACUUUCCAAACUUUCAUGUAUUUAUUUGCCAUUAUGAAAGUUGAUCAACAGAAAACACUUUCCAGUCAAAGAAAAAUUUGGCUUGGUUUCCAGGAAAGUGUUUUCCUUUUAUUUUGGGCGAAAAACACUUUCCGGAAGUUGUGAAAAAUUUAGAAAUGUCAUAUUAUUUGUUGAUUAUAUCAAAUUUGGUCCUCAAACUUUUGAUUGCUAUAUAUAUUUUGUUUUGAAUAUUUGUUUUUCAAUUUCAUCCCUUAGAAUUGAAUUUUUAUAUAAACUUUGGUCCUCAUUUUUAUUUUGCUUUUCCCUUAUUAUUUUUUAAUUGGAAUUUUUUAUCUAUCAAAUCUGGUCCUCAUUCUUUUGAUUGUUAUUUAUUUUAUUUGAAAUAAUUUAUGAAAUGAUAAUUAUUAUUAUUUUAAUUUCUUCAUCUUUUUAUUUUUUUAUUUUUUAGAUUUGAUCUCUAUUAUUUUGAUUAUUAUUUAUUUUAUUUGAGAUAAUUUAUAAAAUUAUAUAUAUUUUUUUAAUUUCAUUCUCAUUCAACUUUUUAAUUUGUAAGAUUUAUUCCUCAUUAUUUUAAUAAAUUUUAAAAAAUAAAAUAUUAAUAAGUUAUUUUCCAGCUCAUUUUCCAUGACAUAACCAAAUACUAAAAAGUAUUUUCUAAUUUAUUUUUCAUGAUACUAUCAAAUAUUGAAAAAUAAUUUAUUUUUCUAAAAUUUAAUUUUUUUUAAAAAAUUUACUUUUCAGUAAAUAAAUAGGAACUUAACUGACACCUCCCAAGUCCUAACGGAUAUCAUGGACCCGUAGGGUAGAUAUUGCCCCUUAGGAUCUUGCUUUCUUCUUCUAAGGCCCGCAUGUUGAUAUUGACCAUCUUGGGCACUUAUGGAACUUGGCCUGGGUUGACAGGUCGACCUGCGACCUGUUUACCCGGGCAUUCAAACUGGAUUGGAAAUUAAUUUUGUUAAACAAAGGUGAUAUGUUCUAUCAAUUCAUAAUUAUCGAUUCGAUUGAUCUAAUUAAUUUUUUUUUAUAUAAAAAACAACUUCGUUUAUUUAUGUUUAUUUAAUUAUUUAUAACUUUUUAUGCCUAAACGAGCCUGGACUUGGAUCGAAUCAGAUGACGAGCCUGGUCUGAUAACUUAGCCUUGAAGUUUAUUCUGUUAGAUCAUUAUUGUUUACUGUGUUAGGCAACAGAUAUCCCUCUAUUCAUACUCAGCUUAAUUUUUCAAUUUUGACUUUUAAAAAUAUGGAGAGAUAUAUGUCAAAUUCCGAUCGGUUCUGAUUUUAAGGAAAAAUAAAAAUUUAUUAAGAAUUCAAAAACAAAUUCAAAAAAUGCUAUUUUUUAUAUAAUUUGAAAAAAUAUAUAUUCUAAACUUUGUUUUAUAAAGCUAAAAAAUUACUAAAAAAUAUAUUUAAUUUAUAUUUAUGUAUACGAUAAUUGUUAAUUUAUUUAAUACUUGUUAAUUUAUUUUUUAACUUUAUUUUAUAAAGCCAACAAUGAUUAAAAAAUAUAUUUAAUUUUUAUUUAUUUAUACUAUACUUGUUAAUUUAUAUAACACUUUUUUAUGUCUUCAUCAAAAUUUUCGUGAAAAAUUAAAUUGAAAAAUCAUGGCUAUGAAAAAUAAACAAUACUCAUUUACUCCCUCAAAUAUGUUUCAUCAGUAAAUCCAUAAUUUUUCUUCGCUGAAUAUCAUUAGAUUUUCAUAAAAAGAUAUGAUUAUAAAGGUGAACAUCUUAGUGAUUUUUUAAAUUUUAUUAUUAUUUUUAGAGUUCUAAAUAAGAUUUUCUUUAAAUUAGAACCAAUAGAAAUCUAACUCGUGUUCUUCCAUAUCUUUAAAAGACAAAAUUAAUGAAAUAUUAGGCUUACUCUGAACAGAGAGAUCUAUACUGCCUAGUAGACAAAAUCAUAGAAACCCAAUUAUAUAAAUUUAAACCAUAAGGAUAUCUUUAUCAAAUAUCAAUAUAUCAGAGAGAUUCAUAGUACCAUUAAACCAAAGUUACACCUAAACUUGUCAUGCAAUAAAACACGUGCAUAUUCAUACAAUAAAAAUAAUAAAUAGACGUAUUUCUCCCUUUCUAUUACAAAGAUCAUUGCAAUACUUAGUAGAUGUAAACGGAAGGGAUGUGAGCUAUCUUAGGCCAGUCUUCUCCUCGCUCCUUCUCGCACCUUUUCUUCAAAUUUGGACAAUUUUCAAUUAUCAAGUCGCUGAGGUUGCUGAGACUCUGUAGCCCUUCUGGCAAACAUACCAAAUUAGGGCAUAUACAGAGUGUUAGAGAUCGGAGAGAAGUAAGAUGUUGGAUACUCUUUGGCAAUGAAUUCAGCUCUGGACAAAGUCUAAGCUCCAAAUCCUCAAGUACUGUCAGAUAUUGCACUCCCUCGGACAGAGACACAAAUUUAUCACAAUUGCUAACAGAUAACUUACGAAGAGAUGAUAAGCCGGACAACCCAUUCAUUGGCAGAGUGUAUAAUCUUGUACAACUAUCUAUCUCUAAAACCUCCAAAGAAGUGAGUUUUCGAAGACCUUCCUCUGGCAAGCUUUCAAGUUCAUCAAAAUGCCGGAUACUCAAGCUUUUAAGAGCUGAAAGGUUGUCAAAUACCUUAUUUGACAAAGACGGCAGAUUUCUCAUCCCAACCAUAUAUAAGAACUCGAGGAGUGUAUGAUUUUGCAAGAACCCAUCUGGAAGCAGCCUCACAUCAAUCCAUUCAAUAGAAAGGAAUGUGAUAGAAGUAAAUUUCAUAACUGACAUCAGUAACGAAGCAUUGCCUCUAUCGAUGAUUAACCUUUUGACGGAAGGUAUAAUUGGUAUUUCGGUCAACAAGGGGCAACGAACUACAGAUAAUUCUCGAAGACGAGGAAAACUACACGGAGCCCAUUGCUCUAGUCUCUUCAUUGAAAUAAAUUUCAGCCUCUCCAAAGAUGGGAAUGGAUUUUGCUCAUCUCCAUACACAUGGCUGUCAAUACACUUCACACCAUCCAUUCCAUCUAGUUCAAGAUUCUUGAGGAACUGUAAUUUCCCAAAUGGUGGAAGUUGUUCACAGUUGCCACAUGCUAUUAGCUUCAUCUCUACUAGAUUCGGUAGCAUCAAGUUCAAGUUCAUCAUCCACUUUGGAAAUUUUGAACCCCCAUAUCCAAUUAAUCUCAAUUCCUUCAGAUUUGAAUGAGGUUGAAGCCCAUCAAGGACAUCCUCAUUAUUUUCAGCUGAUUGCACACAAGUAAAAGGGCGGCGACCUCCAUUCUCAUUCCAACAUAAAUUCAGUGAUAGAAGAGUUGUCUUCAACAUCAAAUUGGCACUUCUGGCAUCUGUUAAAUUCUUAACAUUAACAAGAUCUGUGAUGCUUAGUUCACCAGCAAGAUUAUUCAGCCUUUCUAGCUCCCCUAAGUGACGACCAUCCUCCUUACCCACAAUGAACAGCCCAAGUUUUCGCAGGCAUGUUAAUUGCCCCAUUCCAAAUGGCAUAAAUCGAAGUGAAUGACAGCCCGUGAUGUCAAGAUAGAUGAGACUUUCCAUAUGCUUCAUACCUCUAGGUAAUUCGAUGAGCAGUGUACAAUGACUCAGAUUUAGUGUCUGAAGAUUUUGGAGGGAGGUGAUUGAUGCAGGCAAUUUUUCAAUGUGGGAAUAGGAGACAUCUAGAAACCUUAGAUGUUUCAAAUAACAAAUUGACUUUGGCAAUGUAUUGAGAUGGAUACCUAUAUGCAAGGCUCUCAGAUGCUUUUGUUGGGUGAAAUAAAGAUGCAAAUCAUCACUCACAAGGCGUGUGUGAUGAUAAACUCCAGAAAGCAAAAUUGAGCGUAGAGACCUAGAUUUGAAAUCCUUGUCUUCUGGAACAAACUGUGAUGUCCUGUAUGCACCCACAUGACGAAUUGUUUUAGGAAUUUGCAACUUUGUAUUGCCCUCAAUCAAACAACAUUCUCUCUUCAUAAUGUACUGUGCAAGAUCAUGGAUAAGAUCGUGCAUUUUACAUGUCAUGUAGCCCAGCGCAUCAUCCCUGACUUCUUGAAAAAAAGACCUCCCAACUAAUUCGUGGAAAAUCUCUUCACCCUUAUCGUGCAAAUCCAUUUGCCCAGUGCUCGAAAUGAAGCCAUUUGCCAUCCAUAGAGCUACCAACCGCUCCUUCCGAAUGACAUAAUCUUUGGGGAAUAUAGAGCAAAAUGCAAAGCAUUGCUUCACAGCUGGCUUUAGAUUCAUAUAACUCAAACUCAAGGCAGGUAAUAAUAUCUGGCUUCCUUCAUUUGGCAGAUCCCAAAUCUCACUUUCUUUGACAGACAGCCACUCCCUUUCACUUUUCUUCGAGCGCAUCAGGCUUCCGACUGCUCUUAUAGCCAACGGAACUCCGCUACACUUCUUAACUAUCGCUGCUCCAAUGUUUUCCAAGUGACCGUACUCCUCUCUCCUUCUCAUACCAAAUGCAAGCAGCUUAAAUAAAAGCCAGGAAUCCUCAUCCGACAAUGUUUCCAUAUGUUGAACAGGAUUUGUGGCCAUUUUUUCAGCCAUAGUUCCCAAACGAGUAGUCACAAUAACUGCACUUCCUUUAGCUCCACAGCUCAAUGCAUCUUUCAACUUGCUCCAGUUAUCAUGGUCAUCAUCCCAAACAUCAUCCAAUAUGAGCAAAAACUUCUUACCACGUAAAUUUUCUUGGAGGCAUCGUAGAAGAGCAUCCAACUGUGGAAUAUUUGCAGUAGUGCGUUGAAUGGACUCGAUGAUGGCUGUUGUCAAUCUUUUUAUGUUGAAAUCAACUGAUACGCACACCCAAAUCCGCAAAUCAAAAUGCCCUUCUAUUCUUCCGUCGUUGUAGACUAACUGAGCAAGUGUUGUUUUACCCAAGCCCCCCAUUCCACAUAUAGCAUAAACAGAGAAAUCAUCUGAACUGGUGAGCAGCAUGUUGACCAGAUCUUCUUUCUCCUUGCCCCUUCCAUAAAUUCCUGAUUCAUCCACCCAUGACCAAGUCUGACGCCAAUCAAAACUAUCUGCUUCUAUCUCCAAAGCCCCUUCAAUUAAAUGGAAAUCGUGUCUCCCCUUGGCAAUGCGAUCUAGUGUUUCUGUAACAUUCUUCAAUUUACGAGCCAUCCUUUGUCGAAAAACAAGAGGAUUAUGAUUGAUAGAAAAGAAGGAUCUUAGCCAAUUUUUGAGAUCUCUUCGCUGCUGAUGCCACUGAGCUUCAAAAGCAAACUCAUCCAGUACAUCAUCAACAACAUAAGCUGCAUCCUUGAGGUCGCUGAGCCACACCUUGAUAUGCUUACUCUUCCACUGCUUCUCCUCUGCAUCUUGCAGCACAGCUUGAAUGGUUAUGAACGUGCGCUUGAGAUUUUCAAGCUCGGUCGUUAGGCCCCUAGCAAGUCCAAGCUCUUGAAGAACUAGGGAAUUCAAGUUCCCCAUUAUUGUACUCGCGAGAGCAGAAAGAAUUGCAUCACCCAUGGCUUGUUUUGGAAUGGAAAAGAAGAAGUAGAAAAGGUGCAAGGAAAACUAAAAGCAGGGGAGGUGAGCAAGAAAUGGCAAGUAAAAAUUGAGAAGACAGCAGUAUGAGAUGAAAAAUGGAAAAGGCAAACAGCAGUCUCUGAUUAUAUUGAUUAGGCUCCACACGGUGCAGGCUUGACUUGGCUAUGCCUAUAAUAGUAUAAUAAAGCAAUUGAAGUUUCAGAGAAGGAACAUAGCUGUGAUUUCAAGCAACAUUUGUCAAUUAUCGCAUGCCUUUUCCUGUUUUAAACAGAAACGUGAUUAACGCUUUUGGCUGUGAAUUCUCAAGGGUAUUUUUCUUUUCAAUAUAUUCUCCAUUAGUUAGAACACAGUGCAAAAAGUUUUUCAUAAAUGUGUUUUAAUCCUCGGUUAGAGUUAAUUUAUUCUUAAUGACAGUAGAAUGACAUCAUAAUCACAACUAAUCUCAAAAACUUAUUUAAUCAACUUAAUAUUAAAUAAUAAAAUAAAAUAAAAAAUCGAGGUAAUCAAGCAACCCGCGACCUGGACAAAUUCCAACAGGAACACAAGAUUGGUUAUGUAAAAAAGAAGUGCAGAAGGACCAAAUAAUUGCUCACUCCGUGGAAUAAACAAAUAUUAGUCUAUCUUGGACAUGAAUAGAGAAAGGUUAUUAUAUUUUCAAAUAUUUGUGAUUUGAGAGUUGGGGUUCAAUUUUAUCAAAAUAUUAAAACCGCUGUCUUUUAACUACACUGAUUAGGCUCCACACGGUGCAGACUUGACGAACAUUGAAUGUCUGUAUUAAAGCAUUGAAGUUUCUGAGCAGCGACACGGCUGUGAUUCGAAGACAACAUCUGUCAACUUGAAUUUCCUUGUUGGUUACUAAACGUCUUCUUCCCGCGCUUGCCAACCCGCGUGGCUCUACACACUUAAAUUUUAAAGAAUUACAUUAGGCUCCACACGGUGCUGACUUAACUAGCCAUGCCUGUAUUAAAGCAAUUGAAGGUUCUGAGAACCAACACAGCUGUGAUUAGAAGACAACAUUCCACCUUGAUUUUUCUUUUCAAUUGAAGUUUUUGCUUGCUCAAAUAAUUUAUCUAUGCAAAAGUCAAAAUGUAUUUUUAUAACGAAAUAAUUACUUUCUCAAAUAAUUCUGAUUACAAAACUUUAAAUACCAUUGAAAAUGAUUUUUCAAUAAGAAAAAUGCAUACAUGCCUAGUUGCUCAUAUGCUAAUGUACUUAUCCACUACUGUGCUAAUUUGUGAAAUAUUUUUGUCUACUGCGUAUAGAAAAAAACUCUCAAAUUUCUCUUUGUUCUCUGUUGUACCAUCAAAAGAAAAAUCCAAAGUGAUAAUGCAACAUCCAAAAGUAUAAAAUAUGGUAUAAAAACCAAAUAAAAAAAUAAUAAUUAGGGAUUAAAUUAAAAAAUAAAAUAAAAUAAGAAAAAAAUUUAAAAAUAGCAAUAAAAAGAAUAAAAACUAUUAUUUAAUGAAGAAAUUAAAUGAAAUAAAAUAUUGAGAGUUAAAAAUAAAAAACAAUAAAUCAAGAAAAUAAUAAGAAAAAAGAAAUUAAAAGAAUAAUGAUAAAAUUUAAAUUAAAAAAUUUUAAAAAAUAAAAUGAUAAAGGAAAAAAUAAAUCAAGAAAAGAGUAAAUUAUAUUAAAAAAAAACAUUAAACAAAACAAGAAUUAAAUUAGAUACCAAAACUAAAUAAAAUAACUGACUGGGCUCUACACAGUGCAGACUUUGACUAUCUAUGCCAAUUGAAGUUUCAGAGAAGUAACAUGGCUAUGAUUCGAAGACAACAUUUAUGAACUUGAAUUAGCUUGUCGGUUAGUGAAUGUCUGUGUCCCGCACUGGCCAAUCCGCGUGGGUCUCACACGCCAGGCAUGAAAGACAAGAAUGCCUCAAUCAGAUGCAUGAACAUAAAAGAUGGAAGAAAAGAAAAGAUGGUGGAGUCCUUUAGGUGGGUCUCCACGAAGAAAUUAUGCAACCAAGAGGCAAUGUACCCUUCACUUUCAUAUCCAAAGAUCGCAAAAUAUCUGAUCAAAACUGUGAUCCAAUUUUGCCCGUGUGAGAUGGAGGAACUUCCCGGAGGAGGGAGGGUUUUUAGGCGAGUUAAGCAUCUCCAAUAGAGAUGUUAUUUUAAAAAGAUAAAUUGAUAAAAUAAUAUUUUAAAUAGUAUAAAUAUAACUUUUUUUACGAUGUAUAUUUUAAUAGAAAAAAGUUAUUUGAAAAACCAAUUCUAUUAUAAUAGAAUAAAUAAGUGUUUUAUAUUUUUUUAAUAAUUUUGAUGUUAUUUUUUUUCUACAUGGCUAGAUUUAAUUGAUUUUUUUUUUUUUGCCCCACUUGGUUAAUUUUGGCUUUUUUAAAAGAUAUAUAGGAAUAAUAUUUAUGGAAAAGAAAAGGUAUUUUAGCAUUUUAUUUAGCUUUUUCUUUGAAGUAUAAAAACAAAUAAAAAAAAACCAAAAUAUUAUUUUUUUAUUUUUAAAUAUUUAUUUAGCCUCUCCAUUGGAAAUGCUCUUAAGGUUUGGUUUCAUUGCUAUGGAGGAACUUCCCGGAUUCCGGCUACAAGCCUAUCUACCUAUCUUUAACUUGUCCUUGUGGGUGUGAGUUGUGACUUCUGCUUCCAACAUAUGGAUUGUGCUUUAUAUAAUUUUAUAAAGAUCCAAAAUUGCAUGAAAAAAAAUAAAAAAAAUAUAAAACUUUAAAGAGAGAAAUAAUUAAGCGUUGAAGAGACACCAUAAUUCUAUUAUAGGGAAACUCUCAUGUUACUCUCCAACUUGUAUAUCCAUUCUCAAUUACAUUUAAAACCUACGAAUUUUUUCAAUUAGGUUCCAAACAUUUCAAAAUAUUCUCAAUUAGUGUUUUUUUUUUUUUUUUGUCAACGUUGUCGGUAUUUUUGUCAAAUAUUCUUAAAACCGAUGUCUGUUUUAGAGCAUAAAUAUACAUAUUGGAUAUAAAAAAUAUGAAUACUCGUAAAAAACAGUUCCUCUAUUUUUAAAAGAUAAAUUAAUUAAAUUUUUUUUAAAAAUAAAUUACCUAGUUCAUUGACCAGGUUACUUUUUUUAUAAUAUUUAUUUAUUCAUUUCCUUUCUUCUAUUUUCUUUUUAAAAAAAACGUAAAUGAACAGAAAGGACUAAAUAUAUAUAUUUUUUUUUAAAUAACUAAUUACUUCAUUUCUCAAAACUAAAAGGACUUAGUUUUAUAAUUUAGACCACAAGGGUGCAUUGGAAACCUUGGACUCCAAGGGUGAGUCAUCUCCACGUACUAUUGAGGAUUAGGAUGAAUAUUGAAAGUGACCUUACCUGCAACACGUGGUCGUAUGGUCUUUCAAUUUCAGGUGACACAUGGGUCCCACAAACCAUCAUCAUUUUAUUUCAUUUUCCCCUGCCUUGUGGAGAGAAAAAGAAAACCAACCAAGUCUUCUUCCUCCCUCUCUCCAGGACAGGAAGCGGGACCCAAUCUCAAAUACCCAACCCAAUCCUAGCCGUUGAUUGUUUUUUUCCUGGAUUCCUACUCUCUCUAUCUAGCUAUCUACCUGAUCCAGCUGGAUUUAGCUGUUACAAACUGUAACAAUCAUAUUUCACCCGCUUGAGUUGAGCUUGAGCUAUCUACCUAGCUAAGCCGUCGAGCAGUAAUAUUCAAGCCGACUUGAAAUAUUAGCUGCCAUUACGAUUUCCGUCACCAGUCUAACAUCUAAUUAAUAACUUUAAUAAUCAUUCAUUUCAUAUAUUAAUAACAAUAACAAUAAUAAUAUUGUACUCAAAACUUAUAAAUAAAAUAAAAAUUUUGAAUUUUUAAAUCUUAUAUAAGAUAAUAAUUCUUAUUAAAUAAUUUCUUACCAUCAUAAUCAUUAUAUUAGCCACAAUAAAAAUUAUCGGAUCUAGACAGUUAGGCAUAACCUCGAGCCCAGCUCGAUUAUAAAAAAAUAUUUCAGCUUUCAUCGCCCACAAACCUCCCUCCCUCCCUCAUUUUUUAUGGUUUAAUUCUAUAAUACACUUCAAGCUAUUAGGACAAUAUUGAAUUUAUAUUUAAACUAUUUUAAUUAUAAUUAUUCCGAGUCAUGAGAUCAUAGGUUGCUACAACGCAAUUUUUCUAUGGACAAAAUUUAUUUUAUAGUGCCGGCGGGGUAUCUUUUGAAGUGUUCAUGUAUAAAUUUGAAGCAAAGUAAUGAAGAGACGUGAGACAAUGCAGUAGUGAAACAGAGUUAUUUAUUCAUACCUCUUUCUUAUGAAGAGACGUACAUGUGUAUAUAUAGAGUGGGAAAAACUUGCAGCAAGGAAAGACAAUCUUGCAUAUAUUUUCUCCCAUGAUUAUUGCUAAGAUUAUAUGUUAAUAGUAAAUACACAAUCAUAUCUAAACUAGAUAACAAGUACUUGAUGAGUUGUUGCCAAUGGUUAGGUUUAAGAGAAAAACAUGGCAGCUCCUCCUUUAUGGGUAUGCUAUAUAUAUACUUCAUCUAACCAACAAAAGAGAAGUAAUAUAUUUUUCUUUGCAGAUAUCUAGAGACAAAGUUCUUCUCUGCAGUGAAGCCAAUGUAGGGGAGACCUGUAACCCUGAUUUUUUUUUUUUAAUUAAUAUGGUUAUUCGGGUUAGCUUACGCCUACUUCGAUUAAUUCUAUUGCAUGAACCUUGAAAUUAAUAACUAUAUAAGUCUUCAAUAAUCUUGAAAAUAUUUAAAUUCAUGAUCAUUAAAGAAUAAACUCAAAAUUUAACUUGUUGAGUUACCCCUCAAGAUUUCUAAUACCCUGACUCUUGUUUACACACAAUGCCGGCGGUGAUAGUUAGGGGUGAUCAUUUUCGAUUUGGUUCGGUUUGAUUUUUAUUAAAAAAAAAUAAUCAAACCAAUUUUUUUUUUUUAAACCAAAACUAGUUCAAACCAACCGGUUUUGGUUCGGUUUUUUAGGACAAAAAGCCGGUUUGGCUCGGUUUUCUUGGUUUUGACUCAGUUUUUUCUGGUUUUGGCUCUGGUUUUUUGAUUUGGCUCGAUUUUUUCUGGUUUGGGUCCGGUUUGGUUUGGUUUUUUGGUUUUAGACUUAUAAAACCAAAACCAAACCAACUGAUUUUUUUAAAAUUUUAAUUAAUUUUUUUCACGAUUUAAUUUUUUCAAUUAUUUUUUUCAGUUUUCUUAAUUUUUCGAUAUUUUUACUCACUCUAUCACUCUAUCGUAUGUUUUGUUUUUUACAGUAAAGAAGGCUGGUGUUCUUACUAUUAGUUUUUUUAUAUAUAUAUAAAUUAAAGAUCAUUAAUGGAAUCUGCUAUGGAAAGAAUAUUCAAAUAUUAGAGAAGUGCACAGGGACAAAAUAAUUGCUCACUCCCUGGAAUAAUCAAAUAUUAGUCUAUCUCGAACAUGAAUAGAGAAAGGAAGAAAAGAACACGUCAUGACUUUGAACAGAGAAAGUAAUAAUUGCCCAUUCGCCUUGAAAUUCUAGCUGUACAGCAUUUGGAAUUUCACGAGGCAAAAGAUUCUUAACAAUGAGUUAAAUCUCCCUUUUGAGGUGGUGACCUGACCUGUCGGAAUUGCUUUAUAGACAAGAAUGGAUUCAUGAGUCAUAUUCUACAAGAAACAAGCAAGUCAUUUGACUCACAUAAGAAAGAUGGAAAUAUAUUUCCCCUUUAAUAAAGAGCUAAAAGGGUACGCUAGAAAUUUAAAAUUUUUUAAAAGUACAGUCCAAACAUUGUAUAAUUACCCUCACAAACUUUCAAUAAUAGAUACCAUUUGUUACGCAUAAUUAUGGUAUUUCAAAUUACGCGUGCUUGCUGUGAUUUUCUUCCAUGCACAUAUCUCAAGUAAAUGAAAGCAGGCUUCUGGAACAUGAAGAACUGAGAGGUGCCCGUGCCCUUGCCUUUCAUACAGCGAAGCACCAAUCCAGGUCCGUUCAUGGCUUUUCAGCAAACAAGGAAACCAUUGGCGAUGCUUUUACAGAGUGCUCAAUCACUUUUCUAUUUUUUACAUUAGAAUUUAGAUGGAUACAGAGUGCUCAACCAUCGGGUUAUAAAUUUCAUUUUACUAACAAAACAAUGUUCCCGGGCAACACAUCUCCCCUCGAGUUAUAAAUUUCAUUUUACUUUUUUUUUCGUUACUGACAACGUAUAAAUUUCAAUUACUUAAUUUUUUACUGAAAUUUCAUUAUAACUUAAUAACAAAAUGUAGAUCAUAUAUACUAAGAUUCGCUCCAAUAGAAGCAAUGACCAUGAUGCAGUGACACAUGGAAAAGUUAUACAGUAAUGUAGGUCAUUCUCAGGCUUUUUUUUUAUUUUAUUUUUUUUGUAGUUUUUCUAAUAUACCCAUGACAGGGUAGACUUGUCCUAUAUAGACGAAUCAACUGUUAAAUGUUCCACAAAGAGUAUGGCAGGCCAAAAACACUCACUAUGUUUUGUUAUGUAGGCAUGCAGCUGCUCUUUCCAGGGCUUUCUCUUUGUUGUUUUUAACAAAAAAAGCAGAGAUAUUUACUCAAACCUUCUCAGGCAUUCAUAUCAAACGAACCCUAGCUACGUGUGAAGAAGAUUGAAAGAGAAUGAUCAGUAAGGAUACAUAGAGGAUUUAAAAGCUGUGAAAGCUUGCUCAUGUAGUCGCUGGAUGAAUUAAUCGAGGAGUUUACAAAUAGGCUGGAAUUGCAUCGACACUGAAAUUAACACCUUCAAUUCAAAAAUGAUUUUGACAUUUUGCAGAUAUGGUUCCUUAUCUACAGCUUAGUGAUAUUUAGAGAGAGUUUUCGGCAAAUGCAGCCCACAUUACUAUUCAAUCUCAUGAUGAUGCGUGGCAUCAGAUCGAAUUGUUGAGUUUUCGCGUUGAUAAUCUUCAAAUUUUCUGCAUUUGGACCUAACUGUGAGAUGAAUGGUUUUAUUCGUCAUGACUGUGCAAAAACUUAUUUAAAUCAUCGUUAUUUUCAAAUUAAAGAAAAAUAUUUAUGAUCACAUUUAGUUAAAAGUUACUCUUUAGAAUCAAAUUGAACUAGAUUUUUUAAUUCAUGUCAUCUCAACUAACUUUUAUCAAACGCUUAUAAGAUCAUAGAUCCUUAUGAAUAUAGUAUUUUUUGUAGUUGAAUAAUGGGUUUAAUCAAAUCUCCAUGCUAUUGAUUCAUUUUUCAUGACACAAAAAGGUGAUAGCUUGAUGUAAAAUUCUAACACUUGCAAAAUAGUUUUUUUUUAAUGGAUUUGAAUACCUUCAAAUGCUUAAUUAAGCAAGAGGAAAAUAUAUAAAUAUGCAAAAGAAUAUUAAAUUCUAAUAACAAAAUUAUUUUUUUGUUUUGAUAUGAAAAUAUGUAUUUUAUAAGAAAAUGAUGAGUGUAUGUUGAGAUUGAAAAUUAUAACCCUUAUAUGGAUAGUUUAAGGAGUAUCUAUACCCAAAAACAUUAUCAUUUUCCUUAAGUGAAGGGGUUUGAAUUAUUUCACCAUGAUAGCAUUAAAGAAGAACAAAAAUCUUUCAUAUAUAUAUAUAUAUUAUUAUAUAUUAAAGAGAAAUAUUUCUAACAUAAAUAUUUAAUAAAAUUUAAUACGUAAUAAAAACUCUUGUACACCGAAAAUAUAGAUUGAACAUGAUUCAACUAAAGAACUUGAAUAAAAUAAAAAUAUCAAGAAAUUUGAUACGGGUAGAAGCCACAAGACAAUGCUCAAAGGUAUUAAGCCUAGCAUGGGCCUAAAACCUUUUUUAAAAUGUUCUUCCUGAGUUGUCGUUAAAACAUGCUUGGAUUAACAUGUAAAAUGAUAAGAGAAUAAUAGAAUUUGCUGGAAUGAAAUUAUUAUUGAUUGCAUUGCAUAUUUAUAUAAGAGUAUCUACAUUUAUCUCUUCUACUAUGAAUCCAACACUUGGAAUUCAUUGUCCUAUAAAGAAUUAUUAUUACAGUAGGAAAUCAUGUAUAAAUUAUUCAUUCCUAAUAUAUCUCUAUCAGGAUUCCUAAUACUCCCCUUCAAGUCGAAGAGUGGAUGUCCUACACUCCCAACUUGUGAAUCAUGAAUGAAGACAUCUUUUACUAAGGGUUUGGUGAAGAUGUCUGCCAAUUGAUGGUCAAAAUGAACAUGUCUUGUUAUCAUAGAAUCAUCUUGAAUUUUUUCCUUGAUAGUGACAGUCCAUCUUAAAAUGUCAGGUGCACUCAUGAAACACUAGGUUGGCUACAAUGUGUAAUGCAACCUUGUUAUCAAUGUAGUAAAGCAAGUUCAUGAUGUAAAAGGCCUAAAUCCCUCAACAGACAUCGGAGCCAUGUCAACUCACAACAUGCUCCUGUCAUUGCACGAUACUUUGCCUCUGCAGAGGAGAGUAAGACUGUUUUUUGUCAUUUUGAUCUCCAGGAUAUCAAUAAGGGUCCAAGAAACACACAAUAACCCGUGGUAGACCUCUGAGUUAGUGGGCAACCUGCCCAAUCCGAGUCUGAAUAAGCUCUUAAUUUGUAAUCAGUGUGUGAAGGAAAGAAUAACCCUUGACCAGGAGCUCCUUUCAGAUAUCGGACAACCCGGAAAGCAGCUUCCAUAUGAAGCUUCCGGGGUUGGUGCAUGAAUUUGAGGAACUGCAAGUUCCUCAAUGGUGGAAGUUGUUCACGGUGGUCAACACAUUUCAUUGUAUAUAAUAAUAAUAAUAAUAAUAAAAUAAUAAUAAUGUACUCAAAAAUUUAGAAGUUAUAAAAUAAAGAUUUUUUUAUAUCUUAUAAGAUAAUAAUUCUUAUCAAACAAUUUCUUACCGUCAUAAUCAUUAUAUCAGCCACAAUAAAAACUAUCGGAGCCAGGUUGGCAUAACCUAGAGCAUUCUUGCGUAUUUUCUAAAAGAGAAAGAAAACAUUUUUUCAUGAUUUUUACUUUUUUAUUCUUAAAUAAACAAACAUUCAAAAUUAACUUAAACAUUAGGAUGCAACAACAACUCCAAUUCCAAAACAAAAAAUAACAAAAUAAUAUGAAAGCAAGUAACACUCAUAUUUAUACAUUCUAAAAAGAUAUACCCAUCGCUCUUGCGUGAGCUGCUCCAAGUGAUCUAGUCACCAUCAACCUCCAACAUCUCACUCAAGCAUUAGAAAACAUCUAGGCAUAAAACAAGCCCCAUGACUCACAUAAAAAAAAUAUUUCAGCUUCCAUUGCCCAGAAACCUCCCUCCCUCCCUCAGUUUUUAUGGUUUAAUUCUAUAAUAAACUUCAAGCUAUUAGGAUAAUAUUGAAUUUAUAUUUAAACUAUUUUAAUUAUAAUUAUUCCGAGUCAUCAGAUCAUAUGUUGCUACAACGUAAUUUUUCUAUAGACAAAAUUUAUUUUAUAAUGCCGGUGGGGUAUCUUUUGGAGUGUUCAUGUAGAAAUUUAAGCAGAGUAAUGAAGAGACAUGAGGCAGUGCAAUAGUGAAACAAAGUUAUUCAUUCAUACCUCUUUCUUAUGUUGUACAUGUAGAGUGGGAAAAACUUGCAGCAAGGAAAGACAAUCUUGCGUAUAUUUUCUCCCAUGAUUAUUGCUAAGAUUAUAUGUUAAUAAUAAAUACACAAUCAUAUCUAAACUAGAUAACAAGUAAGUUAUACUUGAUGAGUUGUUGCCAAUGGUUAGGUUUCAGAGAAAGACAUGGCAGCUCCUCCUUUACGGGUAUGCUAUAUAUAUACUUCAUCCAACCAACAAAAGAGAAGUAAUAUAUUUUUCUCUGCAGACAUCUACAGACAAAGUUCUUCUCUGCAGUCAAGCCAAUGUAUGGGAGACCUGUGACCCCUGACUUUUUUUUUUAAUUAAUAUGGUUCGAUUAAUUCUAUCCCAUAAACCUUGAAAUUAAUAACUAUAUAAGCUUUCAAUAAUCUUGAAAAGAUUUAAAUUCAUGAUCAUUAAAGAAUAAACUCAAAAUUUAACUUGUUGAGUUACCCCUCAAGAUUUCUAAUACCCUGACUCUUGUUUACACACAAUGCCGGCGGUGCUAGUUAGGGGUGAUCAUUUUCGAUUUGGUUCGGUUUGAUUUUUAUUAAAAAAAAAGUAACAAAACCAAUUUUUUUUUUAAAAAAACCAAAACUAGUUCAAACCGACCGGUUUUGGUUCGGUUUUUUAGGACAAAAAGCCGGUUUGGCUCGGUUUUCUUGGUUUUGGCUAGGUUUUUUCCGGUUUUGGCUCUGGUUUUUUGAUUUGGCUCGGUUUUUUUGGUUUGGGUCCGGUCCGGUUUGGUUUUUUGGUUUUAGACUUAUAAAACCGAAACCAAACCAACCGAUUUUUUUAAAAUUUUAAUAAGUUUUUUUCACGAUUCAAUUUUUUCAAUUAUUUUUUUUCUAGUUUUUUUAAUUUUUCGAUAUUUUUACUCACUCUAUCGUAUGUUUUGUUUUUUACAGUAAAGAAGACUGGUGUUCUUACUAUUAGUAUUAUAUAUAUUAUAUAUAUAUAUAUAUAUAAAUUAAAGAUCAUUAGUGGAAUCUGCUAUGGAAAGAAUAUUCCGUUAGCAAUUCUAAUUUUUUAGAUUUUUUUAAUUUCGACAACAAUUUUUAAUGCUAGCAAAAUAUUUCAUUGAUAUUUUUAUUGGUAUUAGAAAUCAUUAACGAGAUAAAAAAGUUUAAUGAGCAACUUUUUAAAGAUAAUAUUUCAUUAGUAAUUUCAUUGAUGUUUUCAUUGGUGUUAGAAAUCAUCAAUAAUUUCUAAUAAUAACAAAAUUCUCUCUAAAUACUGAUAUAAUAUUCUUUUAACAUUCCUUAAUUUUGUGCUAGUGUUUAACGUAAAUAACUUCCUUUUGUUUUUCAAUUAAACAAAUUAUCAUACUUUAAAUUGCAUACUGAUAUAUUUUUUUUCUUACUUUAAAAAUUAACUUAAAAACUUACAUGUAGUAUAACAAGAGUUAUUGCACCAAUGAGAACUAAAUACCAUUAUCUUGUAAAAAAAAAAAAAGUAGGUUGCAGUCGAGAAAUAAUUUAUUUCCAUUUUAAUUUUGUAUUUUUGACAAUGUUUUAGGUUUUUUUGGGCUAAUAAAUUAUUAUUUUUUUAAGUUUUAAGGAUGUUGAUUAAUUAUUUUUUUGAUGAAAAUAAUGAAAAUAAAUUUUUAGAUAAAAAGAACAUCCUCUCAAUUUUUAGUCACUUUUACUAGAAUUUAGAUGUGGAAGUUACACGUCAUUUGUUUCUUAAAAAAAUUAGAAAGAUGACAAAUUUGAAAAAAUAAUGAAAAAAGCCUUGAGAUGCAGUGGCAUAGGCUAGCAGACCCGCAUGCUUAGACUUAUUUUUAAAGGUUCCAUCUUGCUAAGCCACAGGACGUGUACCUUGCUUUUAUUAAAAAAAAAUUCCAAUAAUUUUGGUUGUGAUUUCUUAAAUUUUAAUUAAUCAAAUAUUUAUUAGUUAUAUUAUUUAUUAGAUUCUUAAAGUGAUUAAUUAUAUAUUUAGAUAUUAUUUUAGUUAAAGUGAUCAUUUUUUACCAUGUUUUAGAAUAAAAUUAUUUCUGAACGUGCGGUUGAGAUUUUCAAGCUCGGUCUCUAGGCCCCUAGCAAGUCCAAGCUCUUGAAGAAUUGGGGAAUUCAAGUUCGCCAUGAUUGUACUCGCGAGGCAGAAGUAAUUGCAUCAGCCACAGCUUGUUUCGAAUGGAAAAUAUUGGAUGUUGACAAGAAGAAGUAGAAAAUGUGCAAGGAUAACCAAAAGCAGGGAUGAGGAGACAGAGCAGUGUGGCAUGAGAAAUGGCAAAGGUGAAAGUGUCUGGUGAUGGUCUUUACUCUUGCUAUUGAUCAAUUCUUCAUUACAUUAAACACAUUAUACGUUUGCAAAAAACCCACCAAAGACCACACCUCCCAUCUAAACUGCCGUCCUUGACUAUUAUAUUGAUUAGGCUCCACACGGUCGAGACUUGACUAGCUGUGCUUCCACCAUUGGAGAUAAGGUUUACAGGAUCAUAAAGCCUUGCCGUUUUGGCACCUGAUGCCAACAUUAUUGGCCUACAGAAAGACAAGUGGACAUCAAAACUACUAAAGGCCAAUCACCGCCAUGCGAGUAAAGAUAUGUUUCGGUUUGAAUUUUUUUUUUUUUUUAGAUCAAGGGAAUAUAAUGAGUCAUGUAUACAAAUAAAAUUACCGAGAUAACUGAUUUCGUUUGUAAAUCCAUCAAUAAAUUCAUUAAUAAACUGUUAACUUUUUCCUAAUACUAUUUAUCAUGUCAAUUACAAAUGAAAUUAUUGACGAAAUAUUCUAUUAAUAUUUCUUAAAAAACUUUGCAACUGUUUACUUUUUAAUUGCACUAUUAAUUAUUAUUCUUUAUAGAUAAAAUCACUGACGGAUUGAAAAUUCAUCAGUGUUAUUUGGUGGGUUUCUGAAAUUUUUUGAUUAAAUUAAAUAUUACAGACGGAAUCACCGAUAGAUUGAAAAGUCGUAGGUGAUAUUUGGCUAUUUCUAAAAAUUUUAUAUUAAAUUGAAAAUUUAAAUUAACUAUUACAGAAGGAAUAAUUGACAGAAUGAUUAAAAAUAUUAAUAUUUAAUUAUUCAUCGGUAAAACGCCCAAUAAAAAGACUAGAAUCCCUUAUUUCACAAUAGACGUGCCUCUUUUUUCUUCUUCUUUUUUUUUUUUUUUUUUUUUUAAAUCAACAUCUCUUUCUUUCUCUUCUCUCCUCAACUCCUUAUUUAUUUAUUUAAACAAUGCUAACUGGGUUGAGUCCACUGUUCCGGUUGGACCGGGUCCGAUUAAAAGCUAAAAAUGCAUUGAACUGGGUCCAAUCCAGUAAAAUAAAAAUAUUAUUUUUUAUUUUUAAUUGUGUUUUAUUUUAAAAAAUAGUGUUUAACGUUAUUCAAUGACACUACAUAAAUUAUACGGGGAUUGCUUAAUGACGUAGUAUUUACAUAACUUGAUCGUAAUCCCCAUUUUAUUCCUGAUGUUGUUGCGCGCUUAAGAAACUAAGAAAACUGUAGUCCUUGUCGGAUGUAUUUCAUACGCGAUGAAAUUGUAGAUAGUUUAAUGAAACAAUAAAAAAUAUUUUAUAUAAAGUAUUUUUUUAUUUUAUGAUGUAAUAGCAGUAGUUAAAUCUGUAAUAUUUAAAUUAAAAACCAUCAAUAUUAAUAUAUAUUUUUUGAAAUUAUUUUAUAACCUCAAUUUGAAAAGUAUUCUUAACCAAAUACAUUAAACUAUUUUUUAGUUCAACUUUAAUUUUAACCAAACAUAUAUAAAUAUCAAACCAAUCUCAACUAAAAAUACUUUUUAUAAAAUAAUUUUUUUCAAAUCACAACCAUAAAAGCUAUCACAAUACCAAACACACUCCGGGUGCGUUUAUUUUCUAGAAAGUGGUUUUCCAGAAACCACUUUUCAAACUUUAUUGUAUUUGUUUGCCAUUAUGAAAGUUGGUCAACGAAAAACACUUUCCAGUCAAAGAAAAAUUUGGCUUGGUUUCUAGGAAAGUGUUUUCCUUUUAUUUUGGGCGGAAAACACUUUCCAGAAGUUGUGAAAAAUUUAGAAAUGUCAUAUUAUUUACUAAUUAUAUUAAAUUUGGUUCUCAAACUUUUGAUUGUUACAUAUAUUUUGUUUUGAAUAUUUGUUUUUCAAUUUCAUCCCUUAGAAUUGAAUUUUUAUAUAAACUUUGGUUCUUAUUUUUAUUUUGCUUUUCCCUUAUCAUUUUUUAAUUGGAAUUUUUUAUCUAUCAAAUCUGGUCCUCAUUUUUUAUUGUUAUUUUUUUAUUUGAAAUAAUUUAUGAAAUGUUAAUUAUUAUUAUUUUAAUUCUUCAUCUUUUAAUUUUUUUAUUUUUUAGAUUUGAUCUCUAUUAUUUUGAUUAUUAUUUAUUUUAUUUGAGAUAAUUUAUGAAAUUAUAUAUUUUUUUCAAUUUAUUCUCAUUCAACUUUUUAAUUUGUAAGAUUUGUUGUUCAUUAUUUUAAUAAACUUGAAAAAAUAAAAUAUUAAUAAGUUAUUUUCCAGCUUAUUUUCCACGACAUAACCAAAUACUAGAAUGUAUUUUCUAACUUAUUUUUCAUUACAUUACCAAACAUUAAAAAAUAAUUUAUUUUUUAGAAUUUAAUUCCUAAAAAAAAUUACUUUUCAAUAAAUAAACAGGGAUUUAACUAACACCUCCCGAGUCCUAACGGAUAUUAUGGACCCGCAGGGUACAUAUUGCCCCUCAUGAUCUUGCUUUCUUCUUCUAGGGCCCGCAUGUUGAUAUUGACCAUCUUGGGCACUUCCGUUCUCCAUUGCCAGAGACGUUCGAGGCAGUGAAGCUCCCCAUCCCGCAUUAACGGUGGUUCGCAUUGCGUUUUGAAAAUAUUUUAAAAAGAAAUUGAUUUUCUUUUAGAUCAAGGGAAUAUAAUGGGUCAUGUAUACAAACAAAAUUACCGACAUAACUGAUUCGUUUGUAAAAUCCAUCAAUACAUUUAUUAGUAAACUGUUAACUUUUUUCUAACAUUGUUUAUCCUGUUAAUUAUAAAGGAAAUUAUUGACGGAAUAUUUUAUCGGUAUUUUUUAAAGAACUUUGCAACUGUUUACUUUUCAAUUGUACUAUUAAUUAUUAUUUUUUAUAGAUGAAAUCAUUGACGGAUUGAAAAUCCAUCAGUGUUAUUUGACGAGUUUCUGAAAUUUUUUGAUUAAAUUAAAUAUUACAGUCACAGAUGGAAUCACCGACAGAUUGAAAAGUCAUAGGUGAUAUUUGACGGUUUCUGAAAAUUUUGUAUUAAAUUAAAAAUUUAAAUUAACUAUUACAGACGGAAUAAUUAACUGAAUAAUUAAAAAUAUUAAUAUUUAAUUAUUCAUCCGUAAAAUGCCUAAUAAAAAAACUAGAAUUCAUUAUUUCACAAUAGACUUGCCCUUUUUUUCUUCUUCUUUUUUUUUUAAAAAAAAACCAUCAACAUCUCUUUUUUUCUCUUCUCUCCUCAACUCCUUAUUUAUUUAUUUAUUUAAACGCAGCUUUUGAUUUUUGCUUUAAUGCUACAUUUGUUUAUGAGAUUAGUCUGCGUUUGAAGCAAAACGCAGGAGCAACAUGUUUGGUAAUGAAAAAACAUCAUUUACUGUUCAUGGACCCCAUUGUUAUUGGCCUUUGCAACGGAGGAUGAGACAAAGUAGCUCUUCGCUGCUUCUGUAGAGAGUGAACAGUGGAGGGUGACUCCACUAUUCCGGCUGGACUGGGUCCGGUUUAAAGUAUGCAUUAAACCAAGUUCGAUCCAGCAAAAUAAAAAAAUUAUUUUUUAUUUUUUAUUGUGUUUUAUUCAAUGUUUAAUAUUAUUCAAUGACAUUACAUAAACUAUAUGGGGAUUGCUUAAUGACGUAGUAUUUGUAGAAUUUAAUUUUAAUCCCACUUAAACUUAUUCUACUGUACACAUAACCCGAUGCUGCGGAUUAUGUUUUUUAUAAAAAAUAUUAAAAAUUUUAGCUGCAAAGCUAUACUAAAAAAUAUUGAGUUUGGCUCCAACACCUAAUCUAAGAGUAAUAUUUAUAAUGUUAAUAAUAAAAUUAAACUUGCAUGACUUAAGUUUAAGUGAGUCUGGCUAAAAGACCAGACCCAAGAAUAUUGGAUGUGAGUCUGGCUAUAAGAUCGUGUUAUAAAAAUAUGAUAAUUAAAUAGAUUAAUUAAAAAAAUAAAAAAAAAUCAACAGAAAGGAAAAAACUAAUAAAGAAAAAGAAAAAAAUUGAAUUAAUUAGGUUAACCCUUUAAACUAGGUUAUCCCGUAAAACCUGAGAUUCACGUCAUGAAAGUUUGAUAAUUAAAUAGAAAAAAAAAAGACUGGUUUACCCAGAAUUAACUGGGUUAACCCAUCAAACCAAGUUAACCCGUCAAGCCUAGGAUACGUGUUAUGAAAGUAUGAAAGUCUGAUAAUUAAAUAAAAAAAAAAUUGACUUUAACAAACUAAACUAAAUGAAAAAAAUAACUCAUCAAAUCAAGUUAACCUAUCAAACCCGAGAUCCGUAUUAUGAAAAUCUGGUAACUAAAUAAAAAAUUAACAUUAACAAACUAAAUCAAACAAAAAUUCAUUAAAAAAAUUAAAAAGAAAAAAAUAGUUAUUAAUAUAAUGUAAUAUAAUAAUAAUAAUAAUAAUAUAUAAUAAUAAGUAAGUAUAUUAGUAAAAGGCAUGACAUGCCCACACGAUGCCGCGGGCUUGUGGCAUGCUUGUACAUUAUCGUGGAUUUGUGAAAAAAAUCAUAUAAAAAAAUAUAGUUAUCAUCCACAAUAUUUUAAAGAAAAAAACUACAAAGCUAUAUUCUCAACCAGUUCAAUAUUAAAAAAACAAAAUCGACAAAAACAAUUAUAAAAAAACACACAAAAAUGAAAACAAGAAGAUGACAAUUUUGGAAGAAAAAAAAAAAAACAAUAAUAAAAAAAAAGGAAAAAAAAACAUGUGGGGAAAGUUAAAGCUAAAUUUUCAAUCAUCUCAAUAUUAAAAUCAUUUAAAAAACAUUGUAACGAUCUAAAGUGUUUUGUGUAAAAAUAUAUAACUAUAAUUGUUAACCAGCUCAAUAUUAAAAAAAUCAAUAAAGAUAAUUUUAAUAGAAAAUAAUUGGAUGUUGACAAGAAGAAGUAGAAAAUGUGGCAAGAAUAACCAAAAGCAGGGAUGAGGAGACAGCAGUGUUGGAUGAGAAAUGGCAAAGGUGAAAGUCUGGUGAUGGUCUUUACUGUUGCUAUUGAUCAAUUCUUCAUUACAUUAAAUGAAGGACGAAUUUUUUGCUUUUAGAAGGUGUGAUGUGUGCUUUAAACAAAAAACCCACCAUACCUCACAUAUUAAAGCGUGUUUAGUAGUAUGAUAAUAGUUACUUUUUAAAUAAUUUUUUAUGUUGAAAUGUAUAUCAAUGAUGUUUUUUUAUUUUUGUUAAAAAUCAUUUUUAAUAUCAGCAUAUUAAAACGAUCCAAAAAAUAUAAACUGUAUUAAAUUUUAAUAAAAAAAAUAAAAAAAACUUUUGAAUUUUUUAAAAACAUAGGUUGAACCGCGUUUCUAAACACUGCCUACGCUCGACUAUUAUAUUGAUUAGGCUCCACACGGUCGAGACUUGACUAGCUGUGCUUACAAUAAAGCAAUUCAAUUUUCAAAGAAGGAACAUGGCUGUGAUUUGAAGACAAGAUUUGUCUGCCGGUGUGAACCCAAACUUUUGUUCAAAAUGUGAGCCAAAAUCCAAUCUAAAUUAAUCUAGUAUAUCAAAAAGUUGUAUUUUUUUUUGUGGUUGUUAUAAUUCUCUCUCAUCAAUUAAAAAUUUUUAAUCUUUAAUAUUGAAUUUUUAGGUUUAAAAAAGGUAAAAAUAACAAGUAAUCAAUUCUUUUUCAUGUUAAUUAUGGUUUGUUUAUGAAAACAUUAAAAAAAAUAAGAUUUAUAAAGAUUUGAAGUUUAUGUUUUUAAAAUAAAUUCAUGAUUAUUAUAAAUUUGAGUUCAAGUGAUUAAUUUUAGAUGUGUUGUUAGAAAUAAGAAUUUGUGAAUUGAUUUGUUUAAUUAAUUUAUUAAGGGUUAAGAAAUUCGCUUCAACUUUGUUAGAAAAUUGGACAAAAUAAUUUUGAGGUUGAAGAUAAAGAAAUUGUAUUUUGGUCCUUGAUUUAUGAAAAUUACAGUGUAAUUCCUAAACAUUGAAAAAUUAUAAUUUGACCUCUAACUGUAUUUUGGGAUUCUGAGUGGUAUUAUUAUGAGGUUAAGGAUAAUGACUCUCAGUUUAAUAAUUGAUUUGGGAUCUUUUCAAUUUGGGCCUUUAAUUUUGAAAGUUUACAUUUUAGUCCCUGAUCUUUAAAGAAAUGAUAGUUCGGUCCUUGGUUCAUUUCUAGAUAGAAUUGAAAAUGGUUUGUUGGUAAAAUUUCAGUAUGGUUAUGUAUUUACAAUUUGCUCCUCCAAUUUUGGCAAAAUUUUGUUUUGGUUCGUGAUUUCUAAAAAAUAUCGUUUUAGUCCUUAAACUCAUAAGAAUAAACCUGUUUUAUUUUAUGCAUUGAAAUAUUUUAUUUGUUGUUUUGGGUUGUUUUUUAGUAUAUUCUAUAUAUUUUUUUAUAAGCUCCUAACAAUCAUCAAUAAAAUUGCCAUAGCUUGUUUUCGAAUGGAGAAUAAUUGGAUGCUGACAAGAAGUAGAAUAGGUGCAAGGAUAACCAAAAGCAGGGGUGUAAGCAAGAAAUGGCAUGUGUUGAGAAGACAGAGCAGUGUGAGAUGAGAAAUGGCAAAGGUAAAAGUGUUUGGUGAUGAGCUUUUCUUCUGCUAUCGAUCAAUUCUUCAUUACAUUAGUGAUUAAUAAUGUGGUGGUUCAAUUUUAUUAAGAUAUUAAAACUGCUGUCCCUGACUAUAUUGAAUAGGCUCCACACAGUUCAGACUACAUUUCAGACUUGACUAGCUAUGCUUACAAUAAAGCAAUUGAAGUUUCAAAGAAGGAACAUGGCUGUGAUUUGAAGACCGAAUUUGUCUACUUGAAUUGCCUUGUUUGUUAGCAAACGUCUUCUUCUCUAAGCUCAGUUUUUUUUUAUCAGUGUCCAGUGGCCUUCGGUGACCCCAUAACCAUGCAGCCAAGCUGCGCACUGGCCAGACCCUCGGAAGUCGGAAACACCAAUAUCUUCCAGCGCUAGUGAAUGCAAGUUGCCCAAGAUUGUAAAUGCAAGCGCAGAAACAAGUGCACCAGCCAUGUUCUCUUCUGAAGUGAAAAUGGGAACUGACACGGGUAAGAUAAAUGUUUUCCGACUAAGGUUAUUUUUCUUUUCUUUUAUGACAAGGAGAUAAGAUGAAGAAUGAUUCAAUGUCGCAAAAUCGACAAGAUCAAAAGGGUUCUAAAAUUAGAAGUGUAAGAUCAAAUGUAGGAAUUAGUUUACUUCGAAGGCACAACAGUCUUUGGAACAAAAAAAAAAAAAAAACUUGAUUACCCCAGAGACAGGACAACCAAGAACACACCAGUACGGCAUCCAUGGAGCUAUUUAACAUCUUUCUGUAUGCAGCAAGGUGGUCAUGGCCAUACCUGGUUUUGUUUCGAAGUUUUGAACCUCCAGAACCAUAUUUAUUUGAACAUUUAUGUUUACUCAAAUGGAAAAUCUAGACAGCAAACUUUAAUUUACAAUGCACUAGUGAACAGCCCUUCAUAAUCUGGAAAACAAUGUAAAUGCUAUUAUUAAUUGUUUCACCUUACUAACAAUUGACAGUUGCAAUUGAAAAUUUAACAGAAUGCUUAGGAACCUGAUGUUCUAUUUUUAGGGACUCCAAGAUCGAAGAACAGUGCACAGUGAACAUUUCUUUCCCGGAUUUAAUUCAAACCAAUGUGUUGCCAUCCAAUUAAUCUGGUAAUUAAAGAAGAAAGAAGGGUUCUUGAAUAACAAGAACAACAACAGAAGAAAAGAAACAGAGAGAAAGAGAAACUUUUAGUAACAUUCAACACUUAGUAUUUUUUUUUAAAAAACAAAAUUAACAUUCAACUCAAACCAUUAACGUUGGUUUUUUUUUUUUUUUUCCCUGAAUCACAGAAUAUCUUGUCCCAGCUUUCACGUACUAAACCAAGUCUUUACAGCCUGGAACCGAUCUUUACACAGUGUUAAGCCCCACAGCUCGCGGCCCUAUAAGAUUUGAUGCUAGAAAAAUUCAAACUGAAGAUCUGAAGAGAGUAAACCUCCAAGCCCACCAUUAAGUUCCACUAGACUAACCCCUCGAAGUUACCAUUUACAUUGUCUGCUUGCUAUUCAUACAUCAUUCAUGGUCAACUCAAUAUUUCACUAAUUUUCAUUUUAAAAAUAUUGGGAGAUAUGUCAAAUUCAUAUUGAUUAUAAUUUUAGAAAAAAAAAAAAAAAAAAAAGCAGUUAGAAUGAAUUGAUUGAAAAAGCAUCACUUAUUAGUUUCAUAGAUUGUAUUGCAGAAGAUAUUAAAUAAAAACAAAACACAAUACGCCUUCGACACCGAACUGCAAAUUACCUGGGAAUCUGAGCGAACGAAUCUGACGCCCUUGCCAGGAUAUGUCUUCGCCCCACUGAACCGGCAAAGUUCAGUCCUGAAAUCAUCCAGACCAGACAAGUUUAAUGCUCGUCAUGAUAACAUAUUGAAAACCUCAGAUGAGAUCAUUUGCAUAUAAAAAUGCUUCAUUCCAAGCCAUAUAAGUUUGAUGGUUAACAAUGGUGUCUCGAUGAGGUUAUUCGCACGGUCAUGACGAAUAUUCUCAGAGGUACAUCAGAUCCUAAAACCCCUUGGCAGACGCCCAAAAACCCUUUCAAGUGUCACAUAAUUUAUUUUUCUAGAAUUUAAUUUCUAAAAAAAAUUACUUUUCAAUAAAUAAAGAGGGAUUUAACUAACACCUCCCGAGUCCUAACGGAUAUUAUGGACCCGUAGGGUACAUAUUGCCCCUCAUGAUCUUGCUUUCUUCUUUUAGGGCCCGCAUGUUGAUAUUCACCAUCUUGGGCACUUCCGUUCUCCAUUGCCAGAGACGUUCGAGGCAGUGAAGCUCCCCAUCCCGCAUUAACGGUGGUUCUUCCCAUGAUGUUCUUCUAACUUUUUCCAGGUCCUGAGAAAAUAAGCUUGCAAAAAGUGAAGGUUAUAAAAUUGUCAUUCAGUAUCUUCCAGUUGAUGAAUAAUACUUACAUCUCGUCUCGUAAUUAGACGUAAUGUAUAUAACGUGGCAUUAGUUAAUUGGAAUUAAAAUAGAUUGUUUUAAAAAAAUCACUAGCAGAAUGACAUAUAAUAUUUUUAUUAGUUAUAUAAUAAGAUUUCUGAAAAAAAUACUGACAAAAUAAAACAUGUAAUUUUUUUUUGCAUGCUUUUCUGUCAAUAAAUUCAUCGAUAAUAAUAUUUUUUUAUUACAAACAAAUAAAAAUUUUUGAUUAAAGAUUCACUGAUAAGGUAUUUUUAUCUAUAAUUUUGUCAAUAAAUUAAUUACUAAUAAAAUAAUAACACAAAUACUAAUAAAAAAAAAUUCAUUAAUAAAUAUAAAAAUUUUAAUAGUGGAUAGGGGCCUGGUAGAGCUCAUGUCUUGACAAAGUCUAAAAAUGACAAGUGACAAGUUGACAACUUGUCAAAUUCAUAUACAUCUUGGUUGAGUAGCCAAAAAAAAACCAAUAAAUGCUGAUGUAUCAGUUUUAGUAAAAAAAAAACUUAUAACGUAGCUCGCGCUACAUUGCAGGUCAAUUUUUUUAUAUAAAAAAUAUUUAAAAAAGUUAAAAUUUUAAAGUGUUAGGUUUUUUUACAAAGUUAUACUUAAGAGCAUUGGGUCUAUCUAUUACUCCUAAUCCAAAAGUUAUAUUAAUAAUAAUAUUAAACUUGCAUGAUCCAAGUUUAAGUGAGUUUGGUUGCAACAUCAAACCUGAAGCCUUUGAUAUGAGUCUGGUUGCAAGAUUUUAUUAUAAAAAUGUGAUAAUUAAAAAGAAUAAAAAAUUAAUAUCACAGAAUAAAUAAAAAAUUAAUUGGAAAGAAAAAAAACAAUAAAGCAAAGCAUUAUUUCGAUGAAUAGUGCCUUGCAAGGAGGGGUACAGUAAAAUCCCCUCAUGAGAUCACAAUAAUUUAAUGACAAACAAAACAAAUUAUAAAUUUUAAUUCUUAAUCAAAUCGAUAUUAAAAAAAUGAAAUUGAAAGAAAAAAACUACUUAAGAAAAGGAAAAAGAAAAAUCUUAAUUAAUUGGUUUAACCCGUCAAACCUGAGAUUCGUGUCAUAAAAUUGAAAGAAAAAAGAAUGAUGUCUUUUAGUUAUAGUUAAUUACAAUAUUUAAAGAUGAAAUCGGAAGAAAAAACUAAUAAAGUAAAAGAAAAAAAAAUAUGAAUCAACUGGAUUGGCCCACCAAAUCAGGUUAACCCAUCAGACCUGAGAUCGUGUCAUGAGAGUGUGAUAACUAAAUAAAAAAAAAUUAACAUUAAUAAAAUAAAAUGAACAAAAAAAAGAUUAAUUAAAAAGAAAAAAAAGGAAAAAAAAAACCUACAUGAAGAAAAAGAAAAAAAAUCUGAAUUAACUGGGUUAACCCGUCAAACGAGGUUAAUCCGUCAAACCUGGGAUUCGUGUUAUGAAAGUUUGAUAACUAAAUAGAAAAAAACUUAAUAUUAACAAAAUAAAUUUUAAAAAAUAUAAUUAAAAAAAAAAGCAAAAAUACUAAACAAAAAAAAUAUUAAUUUAAAAAAAAAACAAAGAAAGAAAAGUCUGCAUGAAGAAAAAAACUAAUGAAGAAAAAGAAAAAAAAAUCCUAAUUAACUGGGUUAACCCUUCAAACCAAGUUAACUCGUCAAAUCUGGGAUUCGUGCCAUGAAUGUUUGAUAACUGAAUAGAAAAAAAAAAAUUUACGUUUUAACCUAGAAUUAGCUAGGUUAAUUCAUCAAACCCAGAAUCCGUGUCAUGAAAGUUUGAUAGCCAAAUAGAGAAAAUUUAACAUUAACAAACUAAAUUAAAUGAAAAAAUAAUUAAAAAGAAAAAUCAGAAAAAAUUCAGGUUAACGCGUCAAACCCAGGACCCAUGUAAUGAAAUUUUGAUAACUAAAUAAAAAAAAUUUAACAUUAAUAAAAAAAAUUAAACAAAAAAAAUAUUCAUUAAAAAAAACAAAAAAAACAAAACAACUUAAAAAAAACAAAGCAAAAGGCAAAAAAAAAAAACAGCUUAAAAAAGCAAAGCAAGCAAAAAAUAAAAGACAGAUAAGCGUUUCACUGUGGAUUGCAUUCGAAAAAAUUAAUUAAAAAGAAAAAUCAGGAAAAAAAAACCAGAUUAACCCAUCAAAUCCAAAACCUAUAUCAUAAAAAAUUGAUAAUUAAAUAGAAAAAAAAUUAACAUUAACAGAAAAACUCAUUCAUUAAAAAAAACAGCUUAAAAAAACAAAGAAAAGGAAAAAAAUAGUAAAAAAAACAAAGUAAAAACCAAAAAAAUUAAUAAAAAAAAGAAGAAGACAGAUGAGCUUUUUAUGUGGAUUGCUACAGUAAAAAACCGAUCCUUUUAGUAUAUUUCUAAUACCAGCAUUUAGAACCCUAUCGGACAUUCAAUUAAGUUUUAUUUGCGAAAUUGAACAAGCUUUUAAAAGCUAAUUUAAACACAUAAACGCAACAUUAAGGAAAAAAUUAUCAUUUAAUAAUGAUAAAACAUCACAAACAUAACGCAAGAAGUCAAAUGACUUCCUCGAAGCAAAUUUAUCAAACUUGGCCUGGGUUGACAGGUCGACCUGCGACCUGUUUACCCGGGCUUUCAAACUGGAUUGGAAAUUAAUUUUGUUAAACAAAGGUGAUAUGUUCUAUCAAUUAAUUUUUUUAAAUAAAAAACAACUUCGUUUAUUUAUGUUUAUUUAAUUAUUUAUACCUUUUAUAUCUAAACGAGCCUGGACUUAGAUCGAAUCAGAUGACGAGCCUGGUCUGAUAACUUAGCCUUGAAGUUUAUUCUGUUAGAUCAUUAUUGUUUGCUGUGUUAGGCAACAGAUAUCCCUCUAUUCAUACUCAGCUUAAUUUUUCAAUUUCGACUUUUAAAAAUAUGGAGAGAUAUAUGUCAAAUUCCUAUCGGUUCUGAUUUUAAGGAAAAAUAAAAAUUUAUUAAGAAUUAAAAAAAUGCUAUUUUUUAUAUAAUUUGAAAAAAAUAUUUUAAACUUUAUUUUAUAAAGCUAAAAAAUUACUAAAAAAUAUAUUUAAUUUAUAUUCAUGUAUACAAUACUUGUUAAUUUAUUUAAUACUUGUUAAUUUAUUUUUUAACUUUAUUUAAAGCCAACAAUGAUUAAAAAAUAUAUUUAAUUUUUAUAACACUUUUUUAUGUAUUCAUCAAAAUUUUCAUGAAAAAUUAAAUUGAAAAAUCAUGGCUAUGAAAAAACAAAAAUACUCAUUUACUCCCUCAAAUAUGUUUCAUCAGUAAAUCCAUAAUUUUUCUUCGCUGAAUAUCAUUAGAUUUUCAUAAAAAUAUAUUAUUAUAAAAGUGAACAUCUUAGUGAUUUUUUAAAAUUUUAUUAUUAUUUUUAGAGUUCUUAAUAAAAUUUUCUUUAAAUUAGAACCAAUAGAAAUCUAACUCGUGUUCUUCCAUAUCUUUAAAAGACAAAAUUAAUGAAAUAUUACGUUUACUCUGAACAGAGAGAUCUAUACUGCCUAGUAGACAAAAUCAUAGAAACCCAAUUAUAUAAAUUUAAACCAUAAGGAUAUCUUUAUCAAAUAUCAAUAUAUCAGAGAGAUUCAUAGUACCAUCAAACCAAAGUUAUACCUAAACUUGUCAUGCAAUAAAACACGUGCAUAUUCAUACAAUAAAAAUAAUAAAUAGACGUAUUUCUCCCUUUCUAUUACAAAGAUCAUUGCAAUACUUAGUAGAUGCAAACGGAAGGGAUGUGAGCUAUCUUAGGCCAGUCCUCUCCUCGCUCCUUCGAGCACCUUUUCUUCAAAUUUGGACAAUGGUUAAUCAUCAAGUGGCUGAGGUUGCUGAGACUCUGUAGCCCUUCUGGCAAACAUACCAAAUUAGGGCAAUCCUGAAUUUCCAGGCGUGAAAGGGAUAUGAGAUAACCAAUCUGAUUUGGCAAGGAAGUUAAUCCCUUGCAUUCAUAGAGUCUUAGAGAUCGGAGAGAAGUAAGAUGUUGGAUACUCUUUGGCAAUGAAUUCAGCUCUGGACAAAGUUCAAGCUCCAAGAUUUCAAGUGCCGUCAGAUAUUGCACUCCCUCGGACAGAGACACAAAUUUAUCACAAUUUCUAACAGAUAACCUACGAAGAGAAGAUAAGCCGGACAACCCAUUCAUUGGCAGAGUGUAUAAUCUUGUACAACUAUUUAUCUGUAAAACCUCCAAAGAAGUGAGUUUUCGAAGACCUUCCUCUGGCAAGCUUUCAAGUUCAUAACAAUGCUGGAUACUCAAGCUUUUAAGAGCUGAAAGGUUGUCAAAUACCUUAUUUGACAAAGACGAUAGAUUUCUCAUCCCAACCAUACAUAAGGACUCGAGGAGUGUAUGAUUUUGCAAGAACCCAUCUGGAAUCAGCCUCGCAUCAAUCCUUGCAAUAAAAAGGUAUGUGAUAGAAGUAAAUUUCAUAACUGACAUCAGUAACGAAACAUUGCCUUCAGUGAUGUGUAAGCUUUUGACGGAAGGUAUAAUUGGUAUUUCGGUCAACAAGGGGCAAAGAACUACAGAUAAUGCUUUAAGACGAGGAAAACUACACGGAGCCCAUUGCUCUAGUCUCUCCAUUGAAAUAAAUGUCAGGCUCUCCAAAGAUGGGAAUGGAUUUUGCUCAUCUCCAUACACAUGGCUGUCAAUACACUUCACACCAUCCAUUCCAUCUAGUUCAAGAUUCUUGAGGAACUGUAAUUUCCCAAAUGGUGGAAGUUGUUCACAGUUGCCACAUGCUGUUAGCUUCAUCUCUACUAGAUUCGGUAGCAUCAAGUUCAAGUUCAUCAUCCACUUUGGAAAUUUUGAACCCCCAUAUCCAAUUAAUCUCAAUUUCUUCAGAUUUGAAUGAGGUUGAAGCCCAUCAAGGACAUCCUCAUUACUUUCAGCUGAUUGCACACAAGUAAAAGGGCGGCGACCUCCAUUCUCAUUCCAAGAUAAAUUCAGUGAUAGAAGAGUUGUCUUCAACUUCAAAUUGGCACUUCUGGCAUCUGUUAAAUUCUUAACAUUAACAAGAUCUGUGAUGCUUAGUUCACCAGCAAGAUUAUUCAGCCUUUCUAGCUCCCCUAAGUGACGACCAUCCUCCUUACCCACAAUGAACAGGCCAAGUUUUCGCAGGCAUAUUAAUUGUCCCAUUCCAAAUGGCAUAAAUCGAAGUGAAUCACAGCCCGUGAUGUCAAGAUAGAUGAGACUUUUCAUAUGCUUCAUACCUCUAGGUAAUUGGAUGAGCCGUGUACAAUGACUCAGAUUUAGUGUCUGUAGAUUUUGGAGCGAGGUGAUUGAUGCAGGCAAUUUUUUAAUGUGGGAAUUGGAGACAUCUAGAAACCUUAGAUGUUUCAAAUAACAAAUUGACUUUGGCAAUG